GCAAAGACCAACUCAAUCUUAUCAAAAUUGGCUACUAAUGAAGAGCAUGGCGAAAACUCGCCAUAUUUUGAUGGGUGGAAAGCAUACGAUAGUGAUCCUUUCCACCCUCUAAAAAACCCCAACGGAGUUAUCCAAAUGGGUCUUGCUGAAAAUCAGCUUUGUUUAGACUUGAUAGAAGAUUGGAUUAAGAGAAACCCAAAAGGUUCAAUUUGUUCUGAAGGAAUCAAAUCAUUCAAGGCCAUUGCCAACUUUCAAGAUUAUCAUGGCUUGCCUGAAUUCAGAAAAGCGAUUGCGAAAUUUAUGGAGAAAACAAGAGGAGGAAGAGUUAGAUUUGAUCCAGAAAGAGUUGUUAUGGCUGGUGGUGCCACUGGAGCUAAUGAGACAAUUAUAUUUUGUUUGG
rnacentral:misc_RNA from 1 species